rnacentral:rRNA from 1 species
AAAAAAGGUAAGCUACUAAGAGCGAAUGGUGGAUGCCUUGACUGGUAAAGGCGAUGAAGGACGUACUAGACUGCGAUAAGCUACGGGGAGCUGUCAAGAAGCUUUGAUCCGUAGAUUUCCGAAUGGGGCAACCCAAUGUAUAGAGAUAUACAUUACCUAUAUAGGAGCGAACGAGGGGAAUUGAAACAUCUUAGUACCCUCAGGAAAAGAAAUCAAUAGAGAUUGCGUCAGUAGCGGCGAGCGAAAGCGCAAGAGGGCAAACCCAGUGCUUGCACUGGGGGUUGUAGGACUGCAAUGUGCAAGAGGUGAGUUUAGCAGAACAUUCUGGAAAGUAUAGCCAUAGAGGGUGAUAGUCCCGUAUGCGAAAAACAAACCUUAGCUAGCAGUAUCCUGAGUAGGGCGGGACACGAGAAAUCCUGUCUGAAGCUGGGUCGACCACGAUCCAACCCUAAAUACUAAUACCAGAUCGAUAGUGCACAAGUACCGUGAGGGAAAGGUGAAAAGAACUGAGGUGAUCAGAGUGAAAUAGAACCUGAAACCAUUUGCUUACAAUCAUUCAGAGCCCUAUGUAGCAAUACAGGGUGAUGGACUGCCUUUUGCAUAAUGAGCCUGCGAGUUGUGGUGUCUGGCAAGGUUAAGCAAACGCGAAGCCGUAGCGAAAGCGAGUCUGAAUAGGGCGCUUAGUCAGAUGCUGCAGACCCGAAACGAAGUGAUCUAUCCAUGAGCAAGUUGAAGCUAGUGUAAGAACUAGUGGAGGACUGAACCCAUAGGCGUUGAAAAGCCCCGGGAUGACUUGUGGAUAGGGGUGAAAGGCCAAUCAAACUUCGUGAUAGCUGGUUCUCUCCGAAAUAUAUUUAGGUAUAGCGUUGUGUCGUAAUAUAAGGGGGUAGAGCACUGAAUGGGCUAGGGCAUACACCAAUGUACCAAACCCUAUCAAACUCCGAAUACCUUAUAUGUAAUCACAGCAGUCAGGCGGCGAGUGAUAAAAUCCGUCGUCAAGAGGGAAACAACCCAGACUACCAGCUAAGGUCCCUAAAUCUUACUUAAGUGGAAAACGAUGUGAAGUUACUUAAACAACCAGGAGGUUGGCUUAGAAGCAGCCAUCCUUUAAAGAAAGCGUAAUAGCUCACUGGUCUAGUGAUUUUGCGCGGAAAAUAUAACGGGGCUAAAGUAAGUACCGAAGCUGUAGACUUGCGCACAACUUAGAUUAUUUAAGUUUAGAAUAUGAGAAACUAAGUUAUAUGUUUAGUUAUAUUUUUACUGAUUUUUAUAGAGUAAAGAUAGAAAUAAAACUUAGUAAAAUCAGUAAAAAUAUUCUUAGACUAAAGUUAAGUAGUUUAAGUUGUGUGCAAGUGGUAGGAGAGCGUUCUAUUUGCGUCGAAGGUAUACCGGUAAGGAGUGCUGGAGCGAAUAGAAGUGAGCAUGCAGGCAUGAGUAGCGAUAAUUAAUGUGAGAAUCAUUAACGCCGUAAACCCAAGGUUUCCUACGCGAUGCUCGUCAUCGUAGGGUUAGUCGGGUCCUAAGUCGAGUCCGAAAGGGGUAGACGAUGGCAAAUUGGUUAAUAUUCCAAUACCAACAUUAGUGUGCGAUGGAAGGACGCUUAGGGCUAAGGGGGCUAGCGGAUGGAAGUGCUAGUCUAAGGUCGUAGGAGGUUAUACAGGCAAAUCCGUAUAACAAUACUCCGAGAACUGAAAGGCUUUUUGAAGUCUUCGGAUGGAUAGAAGAACCCCUGAUGCCGUCGAGCCAAGAAAAGUUUCUAAGU